rnacentral:rRNA from 1 species
GCAGGCUGCAACUCGCCUGCAUGAAGUCGGAAUUGCUAGUAAUCGCAGAUCAGCAUGCUGUGGUGAAUACGUUCCCGGGCCUUGUACACACCGCCCGUCACACCAUGGGAGUCGGUAACACCCAAAGUUGGUAGUCUAACCGCAAGGAGGACGCCGCCUAAGGUGGGAUUGAUGACUGGGGUGAAGUCGUAACAAGGUAGC